rnacentral:rRNA from 1 species
GAUGAACGCUGGCGGCGUGCCUAAUACAUGCAAGUCGAGCGAACAGACGAGGAGCUUGCUCCUCUGACGUUAGCGGCGGACGGGUGAGUAACACGUGGAUAACCUACCUAUAAGACUGGGAUAACUUCGGGAAACCGGAUCUAAUACCGGAUAAUAUAUUGAACCACAUGGUUCAAUAGUAAACGAGGGUUUUGCUGUCACUUAUAGAUUGAUCCGCGCUGCCUUAGCUAGUUGUUAAGGUAACGGCUUACCAAGGCAACGAUGCGUAGCCGACCUGAGAGGGUGAUAGCACACACUGGAAUUGAGACACGGUCCAGACCACUACGGGAGGCAGCAGGAGGGAACCCUCCGGAAUGGGCGAAAGGCUGACGGAGCAACGCCGCGUGAGUGAUGAAGGUAUUCGGAUCGUAAAACUCUGUUAUUAGGGAAGAACAAAUGUGUAAGUAACUAUGCAGAUAUUGACGGUACCUAAUGAGAAAGCCACGGCUAACUACGUG